UGCCAGCCGCCGCGGUAAUACGGAGGGGGUUAGCGUUGUUCGGAAUUACUGGGCGUAAAGCGCACGUAGGCGGAUCAGAAAGUUAGGGGUGAAAUCCCAGGGCUCAACCCUGGAACUGCCUCUAAAACUCCUGGUCUAGAGUUCGAGAGAGGUGAGUGGAAUUCCGAGUGUAGAGGUGAAAUUCGUAGAUAUUGGGAAGAACACCAGUGGCGAGGGCGGCUCACUGGCUCGAUACUGACGCUGAGGUGCGAGAGCGUGGGGAUCAAACAGGAUUAGAUA
rnacentral:rRNA from 1 species